GACGAACGCUGGCGGCGUGCUUAACACAUGCAAGUCGAGCGGUAAGGCCCUUUCGGGGGUACACGAGCGGCGAACGGGUGAGUAACACGUGGGUGACCUGCCCUCAGCUCUGGGAUAAGCCCGGGAAACUGGGUCUAAUACCGGAUAUGACUUCAUGACGCAUGUUGUGGAGUGGAAAGCCUUGUGCGGCUGAGGAUGGGCCCGCGGCCUAUCAGCUUGUUGGUGGGGUGANGGGCCUACCAAGGCGACGACGGGUAGCCGGCCUGAGAGGGCGACCGGCCACACUGGGACUGAGAUACGGCCCAGACUCCGUACGGGAGGCAGCAGGUGGGGAAUCUUGCGCAAGUGGGCGAAAGCCUGACGCAGCGACG
rnacentral:rRNA from 1 species